GACGUAGGGCGCGAGCGUUGUCCGGAUUUAUUGGGCGUAAAGAGCUCGUAGGCGGCUUGUCGCGUCGUCCGUGAAAACCUGGGGCUCAACUCCAGGCUUGCGGUCGAUACGGGCAGGCUAGAGUUCGGUAGGGGAGACUGGAAUUCCUGGUGUAGCGGUGAAAUGACGCAGAUAUCAGGAGGAACACCGGUGGCGAAGGCGGGUCUCCUGGGCCGAUACUGACGCUGAG
rnacentral:rRNA from 1 species